GGGCCCGUCGUUUAACGGUAGGACAUUACUCUUAUAAAGUAAGAGCGGAGGUCCGACUCCUCCCGGGCCCA
rnacentral:tRNA from 1 species